UACGUAGGGGGCGAGCGUUGUCCGAAUUUACUGGGCGUAAAGCGCGCGUAGGCGGUUAUUUAAGUCUGGGGUGAAAGGUUCAGCGCUCAACGUGAACAUUGCCUUGGAUACUGGGUGACUUGAGUCUGGGAGAGGGAAGUGGAAUUCCUGGUGUAGCGGUGAAAUGCGUAGAUAUCAGGAGGAACACCGGUGGCGAAGGCGGCUUCCGGGCCUAAGAAUGACGCUGAGGUGCGAAAGCGUGGGUAGCGAACGGG
rnacentral:rRNA from 1 species